UACGUAGGGGGCUAGCGUUGUCCGGAAUCAUUGGGCGUAAAGAGCGUGUAGGCGGCCCGGUAAGUCCGCUGUGAAAGUCGGGGGCUCAACCCUCGAAUGCCGGUGGAUACUGUCGGGCUAGAGUGCGGAAGAGGCGAGUGGAAUUCCUGGUGUAGCGGUGAAAUGCGCAGAUAUCAGGAGGAACACCGGUGGCGAAGGCGGGUCUCUGGGCCGAUACUGACGCUGAGGAGCGAAAGCAUGGGUAGCGAACAGG
rnacentral:rRNA from 1 species